UGGGACCUCUGGGCUUGGCUGUUCAUAGCCCCGACCCCUCUGGGCUUGCCGUGUCAGCUAUGAAAGUAAAAAUAUUGCUUGAGCCCCGGCAUCUAAUUUCUUGAGCCC